rnacentral:rRNA from 1 species
AGAGUUUGAUCCUGGCUUCAGGAUGAACGCUAGCGGCAGGCCUAAUACAUGCAAGUCGAACGGGAAUGAUUAGCAAUAAUCAUGAGAGUGGCGCACGGGUGCGUAACGCGUAUGCAACCUGCCUUUAUCAGGGGGAUAGCCCGGAGAAAUCCGGAUUAAGACCGCAUAAUAUAGUAAACUGGCAUCAGCAUAUUAUUAAAUAUUUAUAGGAUAAAGAUGGGCAUGCGUGUCAUUAGCUAGUUGGCGGGGUAAUGGCCCACCAAGGCGACGAUGACUAGGGGCUCUGAGAGGAGAAUCCCCCACACUGGUACUGAGACACGGACCAGACUCCUACGGGAGGCAGCAGUAAGGAAUAUUGGACAAUGGGCGGAAGCCUGAUCCAGCCAUGCCGCGUGCAGGAAGACGGCCCUAUGGGUUGUAAACUGCUUUUAUACGGGAAUAAACCCUCCAACGAGUUGGAGGUUGAAGGUACUGUAAGAAUAAGGAUCGGCUAACUCCGUGCCAGCAGCCGCGGUAAUACGGAGGAUCCAAGCGUUAUCCGGAUUUAUUGGGUUUAAAGGGUGCGUAGGCGGCUUUUUAAGUCAGUGGUGAAAGUUUUCAGCUCAACUGAAAAAUUGCCAUUGAUACUGAGAGGCUUGAGUACAGAUGAGGUGGGCGGAAUGAGUCAAGUAGCGGUGAAAUGCAUAGAUAUGACUCAGAACACCAAUUGCGAAGGCAGCUCACUAAAGUGUAACUGACGCUGAGGCACGAAAGCGUGGGGAUCGAACAGGAUUAGAUACCCUGGUAGUCCACGCCCUAAACGAUGAUUACUCGCUGUUAGCGAUAUACAGUUAGCGGCAAAGCGAAAGCAUUAAGUAUCCCCCUGGA